UGUAGCUCAGUGGUAGAGCACUUGCCUAGCAUGCAUGAGGCCCUGGGUUCUAUCCCCAGCA
rnacentral:tRNA from 1 species